rnacentral:rRNA from 1 species
GGGGAAUUUUCCGCAAUGGGCGAAAGCCUGACGGAGCAAUACCGCGUGAGGGAGGAAGGCUUUUGGGUUGUAAACCUCUUUUCUUAAGGAAGAAGAUCUGACGGUACUUAAGGAAUCAGCAUCGGCUAACUCCGUGCCAGCAGCCGCGGUAAUACGGAGGAUGCAAGCGUUAUCCGGAAUUAUUGGGCGUAAAGCGUCCGCAGGUGGCCUUUCAAGUCUGCUGUCAAAGACCAGAGCUCAACUCUGGGCCGGCGGUGGAAACUGGGAGGCUAGAGUACGGUAGGGGUAGAGGGAAUUCCCAGUGUAGCGGUGAAAUGCGUAGAGAUUGGGAAGAACACCAGUGGCGAAGGCGCUCUACUGGACCGAAACUGACACUCAGGGACGAAGGCUAGGGGAGCGAAAGGGAUUAGAUACCCCUGUAGUC